rnacentral:rRNA from 1 species
CCUUCUUCUCCCCUCUUUCUCCGGAAUUACUGGGCGUAAAGCGUGCGCAGGCGGUUGUGCAAGACAGAUGUGAAAUCCCCGGGCUUAACCUGGGAAUUGCAUUUGUGACUGCACGGCUAGAGUGUGUCAGAGGGGGGUAGAAUUCCACGUGUAGCAGUGAAAUGCGUAGAUAUGUGGAGGAAUACCGAUGGCGAAGGCAGCCCCCUGGGAUAACACUGACGCUCAUGCACGAAAGCGUGGGGAGCAAACAGGA